rnacentral:lncRNA from 1 species
AUGUCAGAGCGGGAACACAGAAUGUGGUGGUGGGGACCUGAGAGACAACACACAGAGUCCUGCAAACUUCAGAUGAAUCAGACACUUGGGUCUCUCAGGACGCUUCAACUCUGGUUGAGCUUGGCUCCAGCAGGUGUAAUGUGGUGGAUCUGCCAGCUGGAGGCGCUGCUUCACUCCUCCGCAUCCCAGGUGGAGGUGUGCUCCAGGCUGCUGUUGGUGUGUCUGCUGUGCGUGGUGCUGGCGGUCUCUUUGCGGGCCCUGAGGCACCGCCUGGGGCCCCGGCAGAGCCAGGAAACAAAAUCCAAACAGCAUCAGGAAGCUGUUCGCUUAAGCAGGAAUAACCACCAUGUAUGGAUGUCCGAAAACAGAAUCCCAGAUGUCCAAGUUCCUGUUUCCGUCGCUCUGGCAGACUCUGUGCUCCUCUGUGUCCUUCAGGAGCCCCUCCAGGACCCCAGUGUGGCCAACAUCGAAGCUCUCCUCUCCAGGUUAGAGGCAGUGUCUCAGUCUCUGGAGAAGAUUGGCCUCGGAUCAGAAGCAAAACCAGAGAACGGAGGCGGCGCGCUGUCAAACAUAGUAAAGCUGACCUCUGACUACCUGCGGGACAGGAAUAGGAUUUUGCACGCUCUCGUCCAGGUGCAGGCGGGUUUUGAAGCCAGCGUGGAGGAUAUGCUGCAGGGCCUGGACGGCCUCUGGAAGCAGCUGGAGGAGCUGCACGCGGGGGUCACGCUGUCCAAACGGGAAGGUCAAGGUCACAAGGACCUGGCUUCGGCCCAGACGGAGGCGGAGCACUGAUGGAAGCUAGCGCAUGGACCAACAAGUAGUCCUAAAACAGCCCAGGUGAGAGGAGAUGGGCUCCAGGUGUUUCAGGAAGAGUGCCUGACAACAAUCCUGCACACCUGAGGAGAAAACACCAACCAUCAGAGGGCAGCAAUGGCCGAGGAAACCACCAGAGGGCGACAGAGGUACACAGAUCUGCCACAGGUUUGGCAUCCAGGCGGUCCAGAUUCUUCUCAUCAUCAGAUAGGAGAGGAUAAAAGUGUCAAUGAACAGAAAAUGGAAAAGACUCAUUUAUUUAAGCAAAAGGGAGGAUUUUCUUUUGUCUUUUCCUCUUUUCUUUCUUUGAAAUUCUUGUUAAAAGUCUUCAUCUUCUUAUCUGCUGCUCUUUUAAGAGAAGCUUUUUACUUUGAAAUGAUACUAUGAAUGCAAAAAAAGAAAAACAUAUCCACAAAGACUACACAGAAUGCUAUGGAAAAAUAUAAAUAUAAAACAAUAAAAAGCAUUUAUUUUACCCCUAAA